rnacentral:rRNA from 1 species
UACAUCGGUGACAGGUGGUGCAUGGUUGUCGUCAGCUCGUGUCGUGAGAUGUUGGUUAAGUCCGCAACGAGCGCAACCCCUAUUGUUAGUUGCCAUCAUUCAGUUGGCACUCUAGCGAGACUGCCGGUAAUAAACCGGGAGGAAGGUGGGGAUGACGUCAAAUCAUCAUGCCCCUUAUGACCUGGGCUACACACGUGCUACAAUGGUUGGUACAACGAGUUGCGAGUCGGUGACGGCGAGCUAAUCUCUUAAAGCCAAUCUCAGUUCGGAUUGUAGGCUGCAACUCGCCUACAUGAAGUCGGAAUCGCUAGUAAUCGCGGAUCAGCACGCCGCGGUCGAAUACGUUCCCGGGCCUU